GGGCUUGUGGUUUAGAGGUCAGAACGUGCGCUUGAUGAGCGCAAAGCCAGCAGUUCAAAUCUGCUCAAGCCUA
rnacentral:tRNA from 1 species